UACAGAGGUCUCAAGCGUUGUUCGGAUUCAUUGGGCGUAAAGGGUGCGUAGGCGGCGCGGUAAGUCGGGUGUGAAAUCUUGGAGCUUAACUCCGAAACUGCAUUCGAUACUGCCGUGCUUGAGGACUGGAGAGGAGACUGGAAUUUACGGUGUAGCGGUGAAAUGCGUAGAUAUCGUAAGGAAGGCCAGUGGCGAAGGCGAGUUCCUGGACAGUAACUGACGCUGAGGCACGAAGGCCAGGGGAGCAAACGGG
rnacentral:rRNA from 1 species